GCGAUCAUGAUCCGUGGGAGGUCCCCGGUGCGGACUUCAAAUCCGUAGACCAUUAGCGUGGUAGUAGUUCGAUUCUACCUUGAACGC
rnacentral:tRNA from 1 species